rnacentral:tRNA from 1 species
GCCCGGGUGGUGGAAUGGCAGACACGGCCGACUUAAAAUCGGCUGCCGCAAGGCGUGCGGGUUCGACCCCCGCUCCGGGCA